GAUGAACGCUGGCGGCGUGCCUAAUACAUGCAAGUCGAGCGAACGGACGAGAAGCUUGCUUUUCUGAUGUUAGCGGCGGACGGGUGAGUAACACGUGGAUAACCUGCCUAUAAGACUGGGAUAACUUCGGGAAACCGGAGCUAAUACCGGAUAAUAUUUUGAACCGCAUGGUUCAAAAGUGAAAGACGGUCUUGCUGUCACUUAUAGAUGGAUCCGCGCUGCAUUAGCUAGUUGGUAAGGUAACGGCUUACCAAGGCAACGAUGCAUAGCCGACCUGAGAGGGUGAUCGGCCACACUGGAACUGAGACACGGUCCAGACUCCUACGGGAGGCAGCAGUAGGGAAUCUUCCGCAAUGGGCGAAAGCCUGACGGAGCAACGCCGCGUGAGUGAUGAAGGUCUUCGGAUCGUAAAACUCUGUUAUUAGGGAAGAACAUAUGUGUAAGUAACUGUGAACAUCUUGACGGUACCUAAUCAGAAAGCCACGGCUAACUACGUG
rnacentral:rRNA from 1 species